rnacentral:ncRNA from 1 species
UAACAAACAAUGCGAGAAAUUAGUAGUUAUUAGAUGCUUUGACAGAGAGUGGAUGACAGGUGCAAUUCCAUAAGGCGCUAAUAAUGAACUCGUUCUCAAGUUUAAGUAUUGAAAUUAGUAGAUAUUUACGGGGUAUCGUUAAUUACAUUGAGGGUUGUGUUCCAGACACAAAACUUAGGUGGUACCGCGAUGAUUCGUCCUAUUG